CGAAUGCUGACAUAAGUAACGAUAAAGCGGGUGAAAAGCCCGCUCGCCGGAAGACCAAGGGUUCCUGUCCAACGUUAAUCGGGGCAGGGUGAGUCGACCCCUAAGGCGAGGCCGAAAGGCGUAGUCGAUGGGAAACAGGUUAAUAUUCCUGUACUUGGUGUUACUGCGAAGGGGGGACGGAGAAGGCUAUGUUGGCCGGGCGACGGUUGUCCCGGUUUAAGCGUGUAGGCUGGUUUUCCAGGCAAAUCCGGAAAAUCAAGGCUGAGGCGUGAUGACGAGGCACUACGGUGCUGAAGCAACAAAUGCCCUGCUUCCAGGAAAAGCCUCUAAGCAUCAGGUAACAUCA
rnacentral:rRNA from 1 species